rnacentral:lncRNA from 1 species
CCGUAAGGACCCGAAUGACUAGGGAUCAAGUGUAUGUACAGUCAAACUACAGUAACCUCAUUGUGAAUAACCGAGGCACCGCAGGUCAAAGGACCAGUUACACUACUGCAACAUUGAGUAAGUCACUGACGAGUGAGUAGACAUCCAAGUGACUUCUCGCGUUGGUCACGCUCGGUACCCUUGUUCUCUAACAACCACCUGCAUAUUCGCUUAAGUGCUUCGUUAGUAAAUUCGCGAAUAAUUCGUGAAUUAUUCACGAAUUUUUGAAGAAACGAAUUAAUCGCCUAUUUAUGUAUUUUUCCCAAAAAUUCGAGAAAAAAUACGUUUUUUUCGUCAAAUAUACUGAUUCACGAAUAAUUCGUGGUUCGCAAAUUAUACUCCUGAAAAAAACGGCGCUAGGCUCGGGCGGGCCUCGUGGGUUGUCGCUAGCCCAAAACAGAAAAAAAAUCCCGCAGAAUCACCCGCCUCGCUCAAAAUAGGGGGAAAAAAAAGCUUUCGAAAUUCGAAUCGCCCCCCAUCGCUUUCCCAAAAAUGAAGGUUUUGCCCUAAGUUUCUCACCCCUGCCGCCUACGACCGACCCCAGCGGCCCAGCCCCGAUCCCUUUCCUUCCUCCUCUUCCCUUCCGGCCGCUCGCCGAAUGCCAUCGGAAGCCCCCGCGUGGCCACAUCGAAGAUCGAUUUCUUCACUCUUUAGAAAUCAAAACCCUCCAGUCCUUCCUUCCUCAACGAGUCCAUCCUCUCUGUUAGUCUGUUAUCCUCGCAAAAGAUCCAAUUUUGAGCGUUUCCACAAGGUAUCUCUCCCUCUCCCUCUCCCUCCCCAUCGCUAUUUUUUUUCCGAUCAUAAAAGUAUAUAGGGUUCUCUAUCUCUUCUUUUCUGGAAGUUUAUGUAUGCAGUUAUUGUUAAACCUGUGUGUGAAGUUUUGUCAUGUGUGUUUCUCAUUUCUGACAAUUUCUUUUGCAAAUUUUGAGUGUUGUAACUAUACGCGCGUCUUUAUUUUCUGGGGCAUGAACUUUGUGGGUUAAAUUUGUUAUAUGUCGCCGUAAUCACAUGGUGAUAUGCACCUGAUUGGGAUCUGAUUUUGAUUAUUUUCUGUAUCGAAUGAUUUAGUAAUGGGAUUUGGAUGUUAGGUAGUAAAAUUGCUUUGUUGCAAGCUUGCAGCACGUAGCUACCUACCUAUGCUUUGAAUGUUAUUUAUUCUCAAAUUCUUUUGGUGGGUGUGUGGAUUUUGAGGAAAACCUCUAUGCUAUUGCUAGCCCCUUUUUGCCAUAAGGGGCUGAUUUAAGAGAUUGUGCUACUUCUUUCCUAAGCACAUGAUUAGAGGGUGUUUUUUUUGUAGAAACAGAGAUGAUCAGUCAAUAGAUUGAUGCUAGAGCCUUUUUUUGUUUUCUCCAUUUUUCUGGUAUCUAUUAUUGCAUAUUAUUGUAUCUCAUAACAGCCAAAAAAUGUAAGAGGUUGACAAAGGGGACAAGCAUAUUAUUAUAUCUCAUAACACUCUGUUCAUUUCUUUACAAACCAGGGAUGAAUAAGCAUUUGAAGAUUUCCUGCUCCUAACAUUUGUCUUAGAUUGUGUCAAGCUCCCAAGAUUUCUUGCUCCCAACCAUUAGAAUCUCCUGUGAGGCCGAGCACCACUCGCAAUUUGGUUCUAAGUUCCGCAGUUCCACUUUAUCCGGUACAAAACUACAUAUUUAUAGUUUUUAUGAAUAUGAUUAGAGUUAAUAUUUGCUAUUAUAUGCAUGUUAAGUGGUUGUUAUAUGAAUGUUAAGUGCUAUUAUAUGCAUGUUAAGUUGUUGUUACUUGUUACGUUCAUUAAUUUGCUUGUUGUUGUACUUGUAUGAAAACUCAGAACCAAUGAAGUGGGAUUUAUUACUUAAGAGUUAGGUUAUGCUUGAUGCAUGAUUGAUGAGUAAUUCUAAUAUUUUUUUGAUGUGAUUUUAUUUGUUCGAGAAUCCAUGAUAGGCAGUCAUGUGAUAGAGCUUGAAAUAUUUGAUUCAUUAAUUUUUUUAUGCAAAAUAAUGGUUCGAAAGAAAGAUAGGUUUUGGAUUUACAUGAAAGAAUUGAGUGAAAAAUUUAAGUGCAACUAUUGUUCUAAAGUGCACUUGGGUGGUGUCGCAAGAAUCAAAUCCCACUUAUCUCAAGUUUCAGGACGUGAUAUUGAAACAUGUGAUAAAAUACCACUAGAUGUACAAACAAAAGCAUUCAUAGCUGUAUGUGGAGAUCCUAGCAAAAGAGCUAAGAGUAUUGGAAGUACAAAUGUCAAUGAGUCUGGGGAAAGUAUUGCAGUUUCUGGUUCUAGAUCAUUUGGAAGAACUAAUCAAAUGACAAUGCAGGAAGUUUACAAGAAAAAGAGCAAAGAAGUUGAUCAGUCUCUUGCUAAGUUUUUUAUAAUGAAUAACAUUUCUUUUAAUGUUGUUCAGUCAGAGUCAUUCCUUGACCUUAUAAAAGAUGUUGCGAAUUAUGGCUCUGGCUAUAAAGUACCUGUAAGAUAUGGAUCCCGAGAAUCUAAAAGUAAAUAACACCUAGAGGGGGGUGAAUAUGUGUAAACGGCAAAAAAACAAAACUCUCGAUAUGAAAUAAAACUAAAUAGCGGAAAAUAAAAGCAACACACCGAGAUUUACGUGGAAAAACUCCAAUCCGGAGUGAAAAACCCACGGGACCGAUCACACGAAGAAAUCCACUAAGAAAACUUGAGUACAAGUGAUUUACCCAAAAUACACGGCUCAAUUUACCAAAUUCUCGAUGUAGAUUGUCUUCGCCGGUCCUCAAUCGAUUGGAAUCCUCCAAUCGACCCCGCCGCAACUCCUUGCCGCGCCAACACCUCGAUUCCUCAAGGCGUCCACCGAAUCCUCGGCUUCACGCAAUAUCCACGCGCCAACCCUCCUUCCGGAGCUUGUAGAAUAGACGAUUUGUGGUGAUUAAGACUUAGAAUACCAUAAGCGAUGAGGGUUCACUUUCUAAUCAAUCAUCAACUUGAUUCACAGAGAAAUUCUCAAGUUAAAACCUAAGAAUCAAGUCGAUGGUUGAUAAUCCGAAACUUGUUAAAAGAGUAGAACAAGUUUCUAGGGUUUUAGAAAGGUAGAAAUUCUAAGCAUUAUCUUCUAUGAUCACCCCCAUGGCUUAUUUACAGGUUUAGAAGACUUAGAAGUGACUAGAAUUGCAAAAAGUCUAUUUUAAAAAACUGAUGUCGUCCUUAGGGACCGGUCCUCUCGAGGAGACCGGUUUGUAAGAGACCGGUCCCUCGGGUGGGAGACCGGUUCCCCGCUGCGUGGCUGAAAAACCAACGUUCGGGAACUGGUCUCUCGUGCCAGAGACCGGUCUCUCACUGCGAGUCAAAAAUCCCAACGUUCGGGAACCGGGCUUUUGUGCCAGAGACCGGUUGCCUCGCAUUGGAGACCGGUCUCUUAUACUAAGAGACCGGUUGCCACAAGAUUUCACGCAGAGAGAACUCUCGGGAACCGGUCUCUCAUCUCAAGGGACCGGUCCCAGCACAUUGAAAACUUCAGUUUGUGUUUUCUAUAGCAAUCCAAGUCUUCUAAACUUAUAUUUAGGUAGUUUAAAUACACCACAAAUGAUCUAACAUUCAUACCUGAGGUGUCGAACUUUCCGAAUAGGUUUUUGAUUCUUCAAAGUGAAUCUUCUCUUCAAAACAUUGCGAUCAACUCUUCAAGACUCCAUUCGACUUCACGAAAUUCGCCUACCUAGAAAAUCCUUAACAAUCUCCCCCUUUGGCGAAUUCGUGACAAAACAUAAUACAACGCUCGAACACAACUCAAAAACAAGAAAAAGAGAUCAUCGCAAUCACCAAACGAUAAUCUUUUGCAUAAUCGAUCCAACAAAGAAAAAUUACAUUUUUCUCACAAUUCUAAUACAAACUCUAUGACUUAGACAUGGAGUCUUGAAGUCUUAAACAUUCCUGCAAAAAUAUUCUUAAAACACAAUCAAGAUUCAAGAAAACUUAUCAUAUCAAAAGAUCAAACAUAACAUAGUCAGUCAUAGUUCAUCUAAGUACAUCCACAAAGCAUCUAAAUGUACAUAACUAAGCAAAGAACCAAACCAAAAUAAGCAUCAUCAUCAUCAUCAAACCAAAAUAAGCAUCAUCAUCAUCUCCAUAAGCAUCUCUAAGUCAUCAAUCAUUUCCCCCUUUUUUGUCCGAAAGAGCCAAAAAAGACCAAAAAGAGGAACCCUGCAAACUCAUCCAGAGUCAUCACCCGGUGGUAGAUCUGCACUGCAACAUCCUAACUUGUCGAAAAUCGCCUGUAUUAGCCAUUUGAUUUUGCUCACAUCUUUCUUUAUCUCUGCUUGCUCCGCAGACAUCUUCCUUAGUUCCGCAGAUAGACGCCGCUGCUCGUGAUACACAGACGACACUGAUACUUCCUCCUUAGAAACAUCCACAGAAGGAUGUGAAGACCCACGGGCAGCAGGAUGUGGAGCAGAAGGAGUUGUUGAAGUUCGUUGAGACAGAGCCCGAAGCUGCACAUUCGACUUUACAAACGUCCUCUCAUUAAUCCGUCCUAAGCUAUGCUCAUAGGAAGUACACCCCGUAUUCACAUCGUGAUAUCGAAGAAUCUGCAUGAUGAUCAACGGAAACAGCAACCUUUCAUUCUGCCCGGAAGUCUUGAUGUCCUUUGCCAUCCGCCGCCAAAUCAAAAACGGAAUGUUCAUGUUUAUGUUCUUGGCUUGUACAAUGUCCAGGUGCCCCAAUAAGUACAUAUAAAGGACACGAUCCCAUCUCAAUAUCUUCGUGUUAGCUAAUGGCAAGAUGUUGUAGCAAACCACGAAGUUUAGAAAUCUAUAUUCCAUCUUAAGAUCCUUAGAAAGAACCAUAAGUGUAUUUAGUUCUGUACCCGGCAUACAUAUCGCAUCCAAAACCUUUUGCCAAUCUCUAAAUUGAUCGAAACCGGCCUGAAGGUACUGAACCCUAUCUGUGUGAGUCGUCAUCUCCAGCACUGUAGCGAUAGAAUCAGGUGUGAUUGUCAGCUCCACACCACGUACUGAAGUAGUACACUGGUAGGGGCCGCCAUCAGAGUCAAUCAAAUGUCCUGCUCUUAUGUAGAAUUCUCUGAUCAGCUCCAAACCAAAACCAGUCUGCUCCGGAAAAUCGCAAAUCUGAUGUAGAUUUUCUCUUUCGAAAAGAUCUUGAAACCCCGGCACACACUCAAUGAUACUAGCUACUCCAAUAUCUCGCUCACCAAUACAGUGCUUUGAUGAGUACAUUGACCUACGACUUGCAGAAACAUCCUGCACACUGAAGCGAGGAGGCUUAGAACCCGGCUCUCUGAUCGCAAAGCCCCUAGACUUCCUCCGACCUUCAUAUUCAGUCGCUUUUCCUUUCCCUUUGUUUGUUGCCUUACCUUUUUCUUUGUCAACAGCUUUUUCUUUGCCCUUUCUUUUUUCUUUCUCCUUAUCCUUUUCUGCAGCUGCGGGCGCUUUACCCUUUUUCUUUGAAAGCACUUUCGAUGUAAGUGCUUCCCAAUCAGGUUCCUCAGCUUCAGAUUCUUCGCCCUCUUCGCCCGGCACAUACUCACUACCUUCAUCAUCCGGUUGUUGCUCAAUCUGUUGUUUAGCCGAGGAACGUUGUCGUUUGUUUCUACGACAACCACCGGCCAUAAGAAAAACAAUCACGAGUAGCCAGGAAUACAUGUUUAAAAGAUUCCUGUUAAACACAAUAAUGUAUACGCAUUGAACAUAAGAACAAUUGAUUUUUUAUGUCAAAAAUUUUAGCAAGUUGAUAUGUAAUAUGCUAGAUGAUCCUAGGGCCUCAUAAUCAUAAAAAUCAUGAACAAAUCAUGCAACAAAAAUCAGUAAAAUCACAUAUUUUCAAAACAAUUGAAAAACAAAGGUUUUGAUGGUGAAAACUAGCAAAAUCGGGCAAAUCCAUGAAAUAAAUCAUGCAAUAAUGUAAGAGAAUGCUAGAAAAACAUGUCUAGAGUUAAGAUUAUAACAAAUAUGAAGAGAUUUAACAAGAUUUCUAGAUCAAACACCAAAAAUUUGAAAAUAAAACACAUUUUUGGAAUACAUUGUUAGAACGAAAUAAAAUCCGAAGAUCUUACCGAAAACAAGUGUAAAUUGAUGGAGAAAGUAAGCAAAAUCACCGUGGGGAAGUUGGAAGCUCGUGGGAGAAGUUUGAGAGUAUUUGAGAAAGUGUACAGGUUGAUCGAACCGAAACCCUUAAAUCGGGUUCGGGCGGCGGGACCGGUCUCUCCAAAAAUUUGGAAGUUCGUGGGAGAAGUUUGAGAGUAUUUGAGAGCCAGAAUUUUCAAAAAAAAAAGUUUAUUUUAAGUUCAAAAUUUUUCCAAAAAUUUUAUAUGAUAUGUUAAGAUCCCUCAAUACAAAAAUAAUCAAUUUUCAUUCCCCAAUGACCUCGAAUAAAAUUUCAUAAAUAUGUUUUGAAAAAUCAAUUUCAAAGAUAUUCAAAAUGUCAAAAAUUGUUGAUUCGAAAAUCGAAAAAAAUUCUAGAUGAGUAUAAAUUAAAAUUCCACACAUCAUGCAAGAUCUAAAAAUUAAUUGUAUUGUUUUAUCAUCAUAUUUGUUAAAAUAAUGAAUAAAUACAUCUCAUAAUCGUGAAAUUAAAAUAAUACCCUCAAAUUGAGUUAUGCACAUUAUUAGAGAUAGGAGUGGCUCUUUGAGAAUCUUUUAACAAACCACCUUAUAUCGCCUAGGAGAUGUAUUAAACAUAUUAUUAGAAUUUUACCAUCUCCACAACAUCUAAUAUUUAUUUAUUCUUUAUUUCUUUUUAUCUUAUAGAAAUACUUUGCUCAUCAUGUGGUAGCUGCACACACUAAUCGGACGACUGGGGUGGUAGCUCUUUCCUCCAUAUGGUGGUAGUUUUCACAUUUCCAGCAGGGAUGUAACUCUUUCCACAUCUUUUGAAUUUAAGAAAUUUUCAUAACCGGAAAGACUCCCCCUAAAUUAGUGCAACCCUCAGGUCAAAAUUAUUAUCGCAAUUUCAAAAACCGAGAAAUAGUUAUUCAUAUCAUAGCUAAUAAUCAAACAAAACAAUUGCAACGUUUAAAGUUCGAAGCAUGAGGUGUUUAAUUUAACUCAGUAUACUAAAAUAGAAUUUCAAUGAUUUAAUCGUUCAAAAAUUAUGACAACAGAGAAUAACAUUUACAGUGAUCAAUCAAAAUAUAAUAUGAAACAAUUAAAGCCAUAUGAUAGAGCUCAGAAAAACCAAUUUAUCUCCCCAAAACAUAACAUUGAUAGUGACACCAUUCAUGAAAUUCAAUCAUCUCUCAAAAAUAAUCAAGAAAAAUCGAAAAACAUGCACAGAAACAAAAUGCAAUAUGAACAUAAUCUAUGGCCCAAUAGAAUGCAUCUAGAUUGAAGGAUUCAUACCAAUAGCCUUUCUUAAAUGUAGAAAACAUUUUUGAUCCAAAUGCUUAGUUAAAAUAUCCGCAAGUUGAUUUUCAGUUGAAAUAUAUUCAAGUUGAAGAACGUUUGAUUCAACCAAUUCUCUUAAAAAGUGAUAUCUUAGUUUAAUAUGCUUUGUUCGUGAGUGUAAAACAGGAUUUUUUGAAAUAUUAAUGGCACUCGUGUUGUCACAUAGAAUUGUAAAAGUGGUGGAGGAGAUUCGAUAGUCACUUAAUAAGCUUUUCAUCCAUAAUAAUUGUGUAGAGCAACUACCGGCCGUAAUGUAUUCUGCCUUGGCAGUGGAGAGUGCAAUAUAAUUUUAUUUUUUACUAUGCCACACAACUAGACAGUGGCCUAUAUAAAAGCAUGCUCCACUUGUGCUUUUUCGAUCAUCCGCACAACCGGCCCAAUCCGCAUCCGCGUAGCCAAUUAAAUCCAAAGACGUCCCCAUCAGAUACCAUAGACCAUAAGCGGUUGUACCUUUAACAUAUCGUAUGAUUAUCUUAACCGCUUUUAAAUGAACUUCUUUUGGAUUAGCUUGAUAGCGAGCACAAAUUCCCACACUAAAAGUAAUGUCCGAUCUACUCGCGGUCAAAUACAGUAAACUACCGAUCAUGCUCCUAUACUGUUUCUCAUCCACACUUUGUCCUUCAACAUUCACUCCAAGUCCUUUGUUACUUGUUCCCAUCGGUGUAUCAAAGUUCUUUGCUCUAUCCAAACUGAAUUUCUUAAUCAAUUCUUUUGCAUACUUGGUUUGAGACAAAUGAAUUCCUUCCUUUGAUUGUCUAACUUGAAGACCAAGGAAAUAUGAAAGCUCACCCAUCAUAGACAUCUCGAACUUACUAAUUAUCAACUUUGCAAAUUCAGUGGUAAUGGUAUCUUUAGUUGCGCCAAAGACAAUGUCAUCCACAUAAAUUUGUGCCACAAUAAAGUCAUUUUUAGUGUGUUUUACAAAAAGAGUUAUAUCCGCUCCCCCUCGGUUGUACCCCUUUUCUAAAAGAUAUUUUGUUAAUCGUUCAUACCAUGCUCGCGGUGCUUGUUUAAGUCCAUAAAGUGCUUUUUUAAGACGAAAAACAUGAUUUGAAAAUUUAGAAUCUAUAAAACCUUUUGGUUGUUUCAUAUAAACUUCCUCUUUUAGAAAACCAUUCAAAAAUGCACUUUUAACAUCCAUUUGAAAAAAAGUAAUUUUAAAAUGACAAGCUAUCGCGAACAAAAUACAAAUAGAUUCAAGACGAGCAACCGGGGCGAAGGUUUCAUCAAAAUCAAUCCCCUCGAUUUGUGAAUAACUUUGAGCAACAAGUCUAGCUUUGUUUCGAACAAUUAUACCAUUCUCAUUUUUCUUAUUUUAAAAAAUCUAUUUAGUACCAAUAACAUUUUGUUGCUCAGGACGUGGCACUAAUUCCCAUACAUCAUUGCGGGUAAAUUGACCAAGUUCUUCUUGCAUGGCAUUUAUCCAAUAUUCAUCAAGAAGAGCUUCGUCAAUAUUCUUUGGCUCAAUUAGAGAUACAUAAGAUGCAAAUUCACAUUGAAGUUGACUUCUAGUUCUCACGCCAACAUUAGGAUCCCUAAUAACAUUCGAUAAAGGGUGAUCUCUUGACUCUCUCAAGGGUGUAGUCUCAGAUGAUAUACUAGGUAUUACAGAUGAGGUGCUUUGAGGUUCAGAUGAAUCAUUUGAUGCAACAAUUUCAGGAGAUGCAAUGGGAUUAUCAAAUGCCGAAACAUCAUCAUCCACAGGCAAUACAAAUGGAGAAUCAUUAUCAUCAUCAUUCAUCAAACAAUUAGAGGAACCAUUCACAGAAGAACUUACAGAAGAAGCUUCAUCUACUUUUAUAUUUAUAGAUUCUAUCACCGUCUUAGUUCGUAAAUUGUACGCACGAUAAGCACGACUUAUAGUAGAAUAACCAAGAAAGAUCCCCUCGUCACUUCGGGAGUCAAAUUUUUUAAGAUUUUCACGAUCCCGAAGGAUAAAACACUUACUCCCGAAGACACGAAAGUAUUUAAUAUUAGGUUUCCUUCCAAGCCAAAGUUCAUACGGAGUAUUCGAAGUAUCCGGACGCACAUAAAUCCGAUUGAUAACAUAGACGGCCGUGUUAACUGCUUCGGCCCAAAAAUGUAAAGCAAUUUUCUUACUAUGAAGCAGAACACAUGCCAUCUCUUGUACAACCCGAUUUUUGCGUUCUACCACUCCGUUUUGUUGCGGUGUAUAAGAAGCCGAGAAUUCAUGUUUAAUCCCAUUAGAAACACAAAAAUCAACAAAUUUUGAAUUUAUGAAUUCUCCCCCUUGAUCACUUCGAAUACGUACAAUUUUAUCGUUACGCUAAUUCAUAAGACGAAGACAAAUCUCAGAAAAAGAGUCAAAAGUAUCAGCUUUUUUCCGUAAAAAAGCACUCCAUACAAAACGAGUAAAAUCAUCAACAAUGAGCAAGAUAUAUCGUUUUCCACCCAAACUUUGAAUCCUAGAAGGCCCCAUCAAGUCCAUGUGAAGUAACUCUAAAGGUUUAGAUGCCCUUAAGUUGUUCAAAUUCUUAUGUGCGGAUCUAGUUUGCUUUCCCAGUUGACAACCCCCGCACAUAGUAUUCUCUUUAAAGUCUAUCUUAGGUACACCUCUAACAAUCUCCUUCUUCGAUAUCUUAGAUAGUUCCUUAAAGUUUAUGUGACCUAGACGUUCAUGUCAUAAAAUUUCAGUAUCUAAUAUCGCUAGGUUACACUUUUCAAAUGAAGCACUAGAAACUACAUAACAAUUAUUCUGUGAUCUUACACCUUUUAAGAAGAGAUAAUCAUCACGAGUCACAUUGUAUUCUUUAUCAGAAAAUUUCACAGAGUACCCAUCAUUACACAAUUGGCUUAUACUUACGAGAUUUGAUUUAAGCCCCUCAAUAUAAAAAACAUCAUUCAAAGUGGGACCAUCUGAGAUAGUGACUGUUCCUUUUCCAAUGAUUUUAGAUAACCGACCGUCUCUAAAAAUAACAAGUCCACCGGAGAUUUUAUUUAAAGAAGUAAACCAAUUUUUAUCAUCGGUCAUGUGACGUGAACAACCACUAUCCAGAUACCAAGAAGUGUUAUCGUAAGCAUGAAGCGAAAUGUGAAUGACAAUGCAUGGGAAGAGUUCACCUUUGCGCACCCAGACCUUAUGUGUUUUGGGUUGCGACGGUUGACUUGCUUUUGGUGAUCGUGGCUUGUCGACGAUUUGAGUUAACUUUUUCUUCAGAUCCUCCUUCUUCGGCUUCCAUGCUUGUUUUGCCUUUGAUUUUGGAGCAUUCUUCUUUGGUGACCACGUUUGUUUCUUCUUAUAAUCAUCCUUCUUUGGAGUCCAAGUUGGCUUCGCUUUUGGUUUAGGAUCAUUCUUCGUUGACUUUAAUGAUGUUCUUUGAUUCAAAGGUGUUGUAGAGCUCUUACCCUUUUGUUUGCAAAAUUUCUUUAUAUGUCCUAAAACACCACAAAGAUGACAAGUUUUGUUAGUAAAAGAAUUCUUAGGAGGAAUAAACUUACCAUAAAGCUUAGAAAUCACUUUUGUCGAAUGUUCGUCAUCUUUUUUCAUUGCUUGAUCAACACACGUCCGUUCGUAUCUUUUUUCAUUGCUUGAUCAACAUACGUCCGUUCGUAUCCAAAUCCAAAUUUAUUUGUUUGACCAAGUUCGAGCAUCUUGUCAAGUUUGCUAGAGCUAGACGAAAAUUGAUUUAAAUCCGAUUUGAGUUGGAUAAUAGUCUUGGUGAAUUCCAUAUUUGAUUCUCUAGCUUCCGUGUAUUGCUUGGUAAGGAAAUUGAUAUUUUCUUCAUAUGAUUCCUUUUCCUUUUCAAGCAAUGUACACUUCUCAAAUAAAGAAUCGUAAGACUUAGUCAAACCAUCUUUUUCUUGUUCUAGAUCCUUUGUCAAUGAGUCCAAUCUUGAAUUCUCUUGUUCGAAGUCAUAUAGUCUCCGCCGCAGCUUCAUGUUAUGUUUUGCCAUCUUCUUUGAUUCGACAACCAAUUGUUGAUAUUCGGCGAUCAUGUCACCUUCAUCCGAUUCUUCAUCCGAUGAAUUCUCCGAAGUUGAUUUUUUAUGCAUAGAAGACAUGGAGAUAGAGUCAAUAGAUGUCAAACACAUAUAAUUAGAAUCAUGUGCAAUAAGCGCAGUGGCGUUUACAUCCUCAUCACUUGAAGAUGACUCAUUCGAAGAUGAAUCAUCCCAAGUGAUGGCUUGCAUCGCUUUUUUUUUCAAGGACUUCUUAUUCGGACAAUCCGAAGCGAUAUGACCAAAUCCUCUACACUUAUAGUAUUGGAUUUAACCUUCAUUAUUUUUCGUCUCUUUAGAAAAAUCUUUUGAAGAGCUUUCGAAUUUUUUAUUCUAAGAGAAAGAUGAAGAAGAACUCCCUUUAGAUUUGCUUGACUUUGAAGAAGUAGACUUUGGAGAAAACUUCUUCCUAAAGUUUCGACGGAACUUCUUGGUUAGAAGCGCCAAUUGUUUCUCAAACUCCUCCAAUGUUUGAUCCGACUCCAAGUCUGAUGAAGUAGUCGAGUCAUCUCCUUUUGUUGAUUUUAAGGCCAUACCUGAAGCUUUAGAAAAAGACUUGGCAGAAGACGAAUUAGAAAAAAAAGUCAUCUCAUAAGUUUGAAGAGCACCAACUAAUUCUUCUACUUUAAAUUCAUCCGGAUGUUUUACCAUUUCUAUGGCCGCAACCUUAGGACGAAAACGUUUGGAAAGGGUUCUCAAAAUUUUUCUAACAAUUUUGGAGUCUGGAAUCUUCUCGCCUAAGUUAGCACACGUGUUUACAAUGUCUUGCAAAAGAGUAUAAUACUUGGUAAAAGAUUCAUGUUCUUCCAUACGUAUGGAAUCAAAUCUACUCGUAAGCAUUUGUAAUUUUUGAAUCUUUACCAAGCUUGUACCAUCGUGUGUAACUUUUAAAGUGUCCCAAAUUUUUUUGGCAGUUUCACACGCCGAAACUCGAGAAAAUUCGGUUUGGUUUAAAACAUUAAACAAAGCAUUGAUACCCUUUCCGUUGAACGAAGAUAGUUCAUUUUCGUCUUUCGUCCACUUAUUUCUAGGUUUGGGCACGGUAACAUUCUCGACAACUUUGGUGGGAUGUUUCCAACCGAAUUCAAUUGCUUGCCAAACCCGCUCGUCGAUAGCAAUUAGAAAUGCUCUCAUACAAACUUUUCAAUAAGCGUAAUUAGUGCCAUCAAAGAGUGGGGGUCGAUUGAUGUUACUGCCCUCGGCCAUAGUUUACAACCUAUACCUGCUCUGAUACCACUUGUAAGAUAUGGAUUCCGAGGAUCUAAAAGGUAAAAACACCUAGAGGGGGGUGAAUAGAUGUAAACGGCAAAAAAAUAAAACUCUCGAUAUGAAAUAAAACUAAAUAGCGGAAAAUAAAAGCAACACACCGAGAUUUAACGUGGGAAAACUUCAAUCCGGAGUGAAAAACCCACGGGACCGAUCACACGAAGAAAUCCACUAAGAAAACUUGAGUACAAGUGAUUUACCCAAAAUACACGGCUCAAUUUACCGAAUUCUCGAUAUAGAUUGUCUUCGCCAGUCCUCAAUCGAUCGGAAUCCUCCAAUCGACCCCGCUGCAACUCCUUGCCGCGCCAACACCUGGAUUCCUCAAGGCGUCCACCGAAUCCUCGGCUUCACGCGAUAUCCACGCGCCAACCCCUCCUUCCGGAGCUCGUAGAAUAGACGAUUUGUUGUGAUUAAGACUUAGAAUACCAUAGGCGAUGAGGGUUCACUUUCUAAUCAAUCAUCAACUUGAUUCACGGAGAAAUUCUCAAGUUAAAACCUAAGAAUCAAGUCGAUUGUUGAUAAUUCGAAACUUGUUAAAAGAGUAGAACAAGUUUUUAGAGUUUUAGAAAGGUAGAAAUUCUAAGCAUUAUCUUCUAUGAUCACCCCCAUGGCUUAUUUAUAGGUUUAGAAGACUUAGAAGUGGACUAGAAUUGCAAAAGGUCUAUUUUAAAAAAACUGAUGUCGUCCUUAGGGACCGGUCCUCUCGAGGAGACCAGUCUGUGAGUGACCGGUCCCUCGGGUGGGAGACCGGUUCCCCGCUGUGUGGCUGAAAAACCAACGUUCGGGAACCGGUCUCUCGUGCCAGAGACCGGUCUCUCGCUACGAGUCAAAAAUCCCAACGUUCGGGAACCGGUCUCUUGUGCCAGAGACCGGUUGCCUCGCACUAGAGACCGGUCUCUUAUACCAGGAGACCGGUUUCCACAGGAUUUCACGCAGAGAGGACUCUCGGGAACCGGUCUCUCAUCUCAAGGGACCGGUCCCAGCACAUUGAAAACUUCAGUUUGUGUUUUCUAUAGCAAUCCAAGUCUUCUAAACUUAUAUUUAGGUAGUUUAAACACACCACAAAUGAUCUAACAUUCAUACCUGAGGUGUCGAGCUUUCCGAAUAGGUCUUUGAUUCUUCAAAGUGAAUCUUCUCUUCAAAACUUUGCGAUCAACUCUUCAAGACUCCAUUCGACUUUCUGAAAUCCGCCAACCUAGAAAAUCCUUAACAAUACCAUCAACACUACGAACAAAAUUGGUUACAAAUGAAAAAAAAAGAAGCCGAGACAUAUGUUGGAAAGGUGAAAUCCUCAUGGCAUUUGAGUGGUUGCACCAUUAUGUCGGGUGGUUGGACUGACUUGAAAUGAAAAGCAUUCACUAAUGUCAUUGCAUAUUCACCUGGAGGUGCGAUUUUUAUGAACUCUUUUGAAUGCUCAAAAAUGAGAAAAACUGCUAUGUAUCUUAAAGAUAUUUUAUCAUUUGUAAUUGAAGAUAUUGGGCCAGAUAAUAUUAUCCAACUAAUCACUGAUAAUGGUAGUAAUUUUCUAGCAGCAGGCGACAUGCUUUUGGGAAAGUAUCCAAGUAUGUACAAAACACGAUGUGCGGCACAUGGGUUAUAAUUACUUUUAAAAGAUAUAUAUAAGAAUGUUGAAUGGGUGCGAAUCGUGAUUGAUGAGGCGAGGUUGAUUGAAAAUCAUAUGUACAAGCACACCGUUCUCUUGGCAUUGAUGCGAGAAGCUACUCACAAAGAAUUAAAGCAUCCAUGUGCUACAAGAUUUGCUUCAAAUUUUCUUGUGUUGCAAUCACUUGUAGAUGUUGAGAAUGAAUUAAGGCUUUUUGUUGCUUCUGCUGAAUGGAGAGAAAGUAACUUAAAUAAAAGUCGGCAAGCAAAGAAAGUAACUGAGCUAGUCCAAAAUAAUGAAUUUUGGAAUAGAGCAAAGGAGGUCCUACAAGCUUUAGUGCCUAUUGUUCGAGUCCUACGUUUAGUUGAUGGUGAGGGAUCUACUUCUGGAUACUUAUAUGAUGCUAUGGAAAGAGCCAAAGAAGCAAUCAAGUGUCGCUUGGGUAAUAAUCAAAAUAAAUUCAUGCGCAUAUGGGAUUUAUUUGAUGAAAGAAGAAAUGAAAAUAUUAUACAUCCUAUACAUGCAGCUGCAGCUCUUCUGAAUCCAGCUUAUAUGUGUCGUGAAGGGUUUAGAGAAAGUCGAGAGAUGAAAGAUGGCAUAGGUUUCAUGUUUGAGAAUUUAAUUCUUCCAGAGGAGAAAGAAGAUUUUUUAAAACAAGUACAACUUUAUCGUUCUAGAUCAACUUUAAUUUUCAAUUCUACGGCAUUGAUGAUGUUAAAAACCUCACAUCCUCGUAAGUUAUGUUCUUUUUUAACUUUUAUAUAAUUUUCUUUAAAUAUUAUUAACUAUUUUUUGUUCUUCGUUACAGGAGUUUGGUGGGAUUAUUGUGGUGAUCCACUUCCAUUGCUAAGAAAAAAUGUCGUUCGUAUUUUAAGCCAACCAUGUAGUUCUUCAUCCUGUGAGAGAAAUUGGAGUACCUAUGAAACAGCACGAGCAAAGAAAAGAAAUAGAUUAUCUUCGGAAAUAUUAGAUAAUCUUGUUUAUACUAUAAGGAAUACAUUAGCAAUGAAAAAGUGGUCCACUUUGGAAUCACAAGAUUUGGAGCCUAUUGAUUUAGAAAAACUUCAUGAACUUUCGGAGUAUAUAGAUAAUGGAAAAGGUGGAGAUGGAGACGACGGCGUAGAAAUUAAAGAAAAUUCAUUAACUAACCUCGACCUUUUGUAGUUAAAUCAAGAGUCGGAGUUCGCUAAUUAUAAUUACUAAAACUUUCUAUGCUGUAUGCUUUAUGUUUAUUCAAGCUUUUAUAUAUGCUUAUAUGUGGAAUUGUGAACUUUAUAUAGUUUUUAUUUGUUUAUUGUUUAGACUUUAGAUAUGCUAGUAUGCACUAUGCAAAGUGUAAGUUUUAUCUUGUAUUUUGUUUUCAACUAUACUUUAUGUGAAUCUUCUAUGUAAUGAACCUUCUAUAUAGUUUCCAACUAUGUGAACCUUCUAUGUUACUGAACCUUCUAUGAGAACUUUCUAUGUAUUUAGUUUCCCACUAUGCUUGUAUGUGAACCUUCUAUAUUUUAUAUGUUUUAUUUAGCUUCUAGCUAUGUAGUUUCCAACUAUCUUGUAUGUAGUUUUCAACUAUGCUUGUAUGUGAAUCUUCUAUGUUUUAUAUGUUUUAUUUAGUUUCCAGCUAUGUAGUUUCCAACUAUCUUGCUAUUUUUUUUUUUACUUAAUUAGCUUAAUUUUGUAGCUCUUUAUUCUUUUAUUCUUAAGAAAUAUGAGUCUUUAUGCUAAUAGCAUAAAUUUUGAGAGAAAAAAAUUUAAUUUAAUAGCCGAAUUUUUUAUCCCGAAUUUUAAUUGGGGAACGUAUAAUAUUUGUAUAAAUCACAUAUCCGAAUAAUUGGCGAAUCCAUUUUUUAAUCGUAUUUUUCAAUAAAUUUAAAAAUUUGAAGACGAAUUUUAUCUAAAUUAUACCUGUACCGAAUUUUUGCCGAAUCCGAAUUUACUAACAAUGCUUCAGUGUCCCCACAUUGUCGACUAGAGACUCGUCUACCCAGAAAGGGAAGCGACCUAUGCACCAAUCUCACCGGAUUAAUCACCGUCCCCGUGAUGAUCUAUUGAUCGGGAGCAUUUAGGAAUUAACCACCAAUGACACAUGUCUCAAAUUCUCAACACUUGAGAAUAUAUGUCAUCAUCUUAUUAAAUCCUUGGACAAUUCAUGGAUACAUACACAACAUGAAUGGAAAUAAGUACCCAAAUUUAUUCAUAAUAUUUUAAAAUCAAAUACAAAUUUAUGUCCUAGAAAGAAUACAUGUGUCAGCCUUGUUGGCUUCUAGGGCAUACAUCUAACAAUCUCCUACUUGCACUAAAGCCAAUCAGCCAUAUACAUAAGCCCCAUCUUCUCAAGGUGGACUUCCGUCUUUUGCUGGCUAAGUGGUUUAGUCAAUGGGUCUUCCACGUUAUCCAUGGAGUCUACUCUCUGCAUCUCGAUGUAUUUCUUGUUGAGGUAGUCGCGUAUAAUAUGAAACCGCCGCUCUAUAUGCUUGGACUUCUGAUGAGACCUAAGCUCCUUAGUUAGGGCUAUGGCGCCAUUGUUGUUGCAAUAUAGUGGUAUGGCAUCUAAUGGCAUCACACAUAGUUUUGCGACAAAUUUCUUGAAUCAGAAGGCCUACAUCAAAUGCGGCGAUAUACUCUGCUUCCAUGGCAGGGUGGUUGUUUGGAACUCUUCCAAUACACCAAGCCACUAUUGCACAAAAACACUAAUUCUGACGCAAACUUUCUAUCGUCAACUUCAGACAUAAAGUCUGAAUCAGUAUAUCCUUAUCUUUUCAACUCUCUUCCUCCAAAGACCAAGAACAUAUCCUCAGUCCUUCUCAAGUACUUGAGUAUGUUCUUCACAGCAGUCCAAUGCUCAUUGCCUGGAUUAGAUAGAUAUCUGCUUGUGACACUCACAGUAAGCGCGAUAUCAGGUCGUGUACAUAGCAUCGCGUAUAUAAGACUCUCUAAAGCUAAUGCAGAAAGGAUCUUACUCAUACGUUGAAUCUCUUCAAAUGUAUUGGGGCACAUUUUCUUAGAGAGAUAAAUUCCAUAUCUAAGAGGUAAAAGUCCUUAUUUGGAGUUUUCCAUGUCGAACCUCUUCAGCACCUCCUCUAUGUACAUUUUCUGUGAGAGAUCUAGUAUCCUUUUAUAUCUAUCUCUAUAAACCUUUAUCCCCAAAAUAUAGGAUGCUUCCCCUAGAUCUUUCAUGGAGAAUUCUUUAGACAACUAUACCUUAACUGAAGUGAGCAUUGGAAUGUCAUUCCCAAUUAGGAAAAUGUCAUCCACGUACAAUACAAGGAAUGUGACAGCUCUUCCACUGACCUUCUUAUAAACUCAUGGUUCCUCCUCAUUCUUAACGAAAUCAAACAAUUUAAUUACGUCGUUGAAACGAGUAUUCCAAGUCCGAUAUGCUUGCUUAAGUCCAUAAAUGCACCGUUGCAACUUGUAUACUUUGUGACUUUCGUCACUGGAAGUGAAACUAAGAGGCUGCUCUAUAUAGAUAUCUUCUUCAAGAUAUCUAUUUAGAAAGGCAGUUUUCACAUCCAUUUGCCAGAUCUCAUAAUCAUAGUAUGCUGCAAGGGCAAGCAGUGUUCGAAUGGAUUUAAGCAUGGCCACAGGUGGCAAGGUCUCCUGAUAGUCAAUGCAUUCACGUUGACUAUAACCUUUUGCAACCAGCCUUACUUUAUAGGUCUCCACCUUUCCAUCCAAACCUAUUUUUCUUUUGUAGAUCCAUUUACACCUAAUAGGUACUAUACCUUCUGGUGGGUCUACCAAAAUCCAAACCUGGUUGGAAUGCAUUGAGUCAAUUUCUGACUUCAUGGCAUCCAACCAUUUCUCGGAAUCGAUGUCAGACAUCGCCUCGUUGUAGGUUUUGAGAUCAUCUCCAUGUUCCCUAUCUCCCAUGAGGAAUAUUUCCUCUAUUUCCUCUGUAAUGAUACCUAAGUAUCUUUUAGGAGGAUAGGAGAUUCUACUCGACCUACGAUGUGGAGGAGGUACUAGAUGUACUGGCUCAGCUUGAAUAGGUUUUGUAGGUUUGAUGACUCGUUGCUCUUCAAAGACUCUCUUUUCAAGCUCAAUUUUUCCUCCCACUAGCUCCUUUUUGAAUAAACUUUUUUUUCAAAAAAAAAGCAUGUCGGCUCAUAACUAUAUUGUGAUUCUAUGGGAUAUAAAAAUAGUAACCUAAAGUUUCUUUAGGAUAUCCAAUAAAACGAGCCCUCUCAGACCUAGCCUUUAACUUGUCCGCCUGUAGUCGCUUAACAUAGGCCGGACACCCCCAAAUCUUAAUAUGACCAAGACUUGGUUUCUUACCAUGCCACAUCUCAUACGGUGUGGUAGGAACAGAUUUAGAGGGAACUCUAUUUAACAAGUAAGCAGCGGUAAGCAAAGUAUGUCCCCAAAGAAACAAAGGAGAAUCAGUGAAACUCAUCAUGGAUCGAACCAUAUCCAAUAAGGUUCGGUUUCUCCAUUCUGACACCCUGUUGAGUUGAGGUGUUUCCGGAGGAGUCCACUGUGAGACUAUGCAGUUUUCUUUUAGAUAAUUUAGAAACUCUCCGCUAAGAUAUUCUCCUCCUCGAUCUGAUCGAAGAACCUUGAUGGAUUUUUCAGUUUGUUUUCUACUUCAUAUCUGAAUUCUUUGAACUUUUCAAAAGCCUUAGAUUUGUGUCUUAUAAGAUACAUAUCUCCAUACCAUAAAUAAUUAUCGGUAAAGAUUAUGAAGUAGAGAUAACCACCCCUAGCAUGCACCUCAAAUGGGCCACACACAUUAGUGUGUAUCAGGAAAAGUAUCUCAAUGGCCCUUUCCCUUUGUCCUACAAAGGAUAAUUUAGUCAAUUUUUCUUGAAGACAAGAUUCACAAACUGGAUAAGACUCUGAAGUCAAUGAGCCAAGAAGCCCAUCUCUAUCCAAUUUGUUGAUCCUUUUUUCUCUAAUAUGACCAAGCCUGAGGUGCCACAUAUACUUUAGAUUCAUCUCAUCUCUAGGUCUUUUAGACGCAACAGCAUUCACUACUUGCUCAGAAAUAUUUACAGAUACAUCCAUAUGUAAAUGAUAAAGACUGUCAAUCAUUAAACCACGGCCAAUAAUUUUAUUUCUAAAAUAAAUUAUGCAGUAGUCUUUAUCAAAAUAUAACCAUGCUGUGUUAAAAGGAAUCAGAAAUCAAAUUCCUGCUAGCAGGAGGUAUGUAAUGACAGUCUUUGAUAAAACAUGUCCUGACGGUAAUCGCAAAGGAUAGGUGCCAGCUGCCACAGCAGCAACUUUUGCCCCAUUGCCUACCCGUAGGGUCACUUCACCUUCCCUAAGCCCUCUACUUUUUCUUGGACUCUACAUUGAAGUACAAAAAGCACUAGAAUCAGAGUCAAUAACUCAACUGGAAGUAGAGGAAACUGUAAGGUUAGUUUUAAUUACGAGCAAGUCUGACAUACCUUCCCUAAUGUGUGUCUUUCCUCUUAUUCUUUAGGCUCUCCAGAUAGAAAGGACAGUUCCUCUCACAAUGACCGUCAAUAUUACAGUGGAAAUAUUUUUCCUCUGUUAGCAGCCUUUUUCUUAGGAGCUUCCCUCCUGGACUUGUUCUCCGUCUUUUGUUUCUUCACGGGUUUCUUCUUCUAAUUAGACGUUCUUUUGGAAGAGGAAGCCGGCUCCACAGCGAGAAAUGUGCCCUUUGAACAUUUCAAAAUCCCCUAUGUUGUAAUCAAUACGUUCAAUAACUCUGCGUUGGUACAGUCGAUUUUAUUUAUAUGGUAGUUUACAAUAAACUGUCCAUAUGAUACAUGAAGGGAUUGCAGGAUCAGAUCAACUUGCAAUUCCUUGUCUAUUUUCACGCCGAGCUUUUCAAGCUCCUCGAGGUCUUUGAUCAUUGUCAAACAAUGAACAUACUGCCCUUCGAUUAGUUAUUGGACGGUUUGGUAACAUGAUAUUUUCCUGGUCGAGAACAAUGUAGAGCUUCUUGGAACUUAAAACUAUUUUUAAGUUCCUUAGCCAGUCUUUAUAAUUAGUUUCAGUUAAGGAUUUUGUGUCGAGAAUACGAGAGAGAUAAUUGGAAGCAAUCAUUAGCUUUGCAGAGAGUAAAGAUUCAAGUUAGAUAUUUAUAUUUGUUUUGGAAAUUUGUUUUAGGGAUUUUAAAAACAAAUUUAGCCUCCAACUAUUUUCUCGAGUCUCUUACACUCCUCGGGUAGAGAAACGGAAACCCAACGCGACAAAAGAUUUUAAGUGGGUACUGCGGUCCCACCAGUUUAACGUACCACCUCACCUAACAGUUAUUGGUGAUAUGCAAACCGAUGAGUGAACAACUCUUGUCCAAUGUUUCUCAAGCAAAUUGCAGUGAUCGGUUUCUAAGUCCUGUAGGCCUCACCUGACAGUUAUUGGCCAUAUUCCUUAGUUAAGUCAGACCCACCGUUCAAACACGUAAGUACAGCCGUCAUUGGAUCCCUCACCUGACAGUCAUUGGGCCCAACCCCAUCUUUACUCCGCAGCAUCUCAUGCUAAUAGAGUGGUUGCGCCUUCCCGAUACAACUGACCACUGUAACCAGCCGUGCCAAUCAACACCCGAAAAACGUCCACACUUCUACAACGGCGGAAGACCGCUCGACUUAAUAUUUGUGAGGAGAUUUAAAUUUAGGUCUCAAAAAUAUUAUUUUAUUUAUUUACAUCUAAUGCAAAUAAUCUACGCAUAAAAAUAUAAUUAAAUUGGUGAUGAUCAUGGAUCUAAGAAGUGGAUUCGAGCUCAAGCCACUGAGUCGGAAUCGGGGUCUUAGUGUCAUAAAUUACAAGCACACACACGUCAUUUGUUUGAUCGUCUUCAACUUCUUGAUCCGAUCCGGAGCUACAAUUUGAUCCGAUCCUAUCACAUCUUGAUCCGACCGCCAUCAACUGCUCAUCUCGAUCAAGUCUUUUUAUACUUCUCGACUUGCAAUCGAUCAACCAAUGACAUGCAACCAUACAUUAUAUAACCCAACAAUAAAAAUGAAAUAAAAAUUAACUACAUUUGAUAACUUUUAUCUCUAACCUAUUGAGACACGCAGGUCUCCAAAUAAAUCGGCUUGUGCACGCAGACACAAAUAUAGCCAUCUCUAAUACAAAGUCCUUAAUUUAAACAAAUUUAAAAUUACAGAAUUCUGCAUACACAUCAAACAUCACAUGUCGAAACAAAAAUAAAUAGGUCGCUAUCCAUAAUCAUCACCGAUAUGUAUCUCAUACAUCACAUACAUAAUAAACAAUUUUGGAUAUUCUAAUUAACCGUUCAACGAUGAUUCGAAAAAUUAGUGACUAAAUUAUUAAAAACAAUCAAUCUUAUUGAUCAUUUAUAAUUUUGAUCAACAACUUAAUUUUCAAACAUAACAACUUGACCUCUUCAAGUUAUUAAUUCGAUCUAAUCNCAUACAUCACAUACAUAAUAAAUAAUUUUGGAUAUUCUAAUUAACCGUUCAACGAUGAUUCGAAAAAUUAGUGACUAAAUUAUUAAAAACAAUCAAUCUUAUUGAUCAUUUAUAAUCUUGAUCAACAACUUAAUUUUCAAACAUAACAACUUGACCUCUUCAAGUUAUUAAUUCGAUCUAAUCAAAUUAGGUCUCUCUCUCUCUCUCUCUCUCUCUCUCUCUCUAUAUAUAUAUAUAUAUAUAUAUAUAUAUGCUUCUUGGCUAGAUAAUUUUAAUCUUGAAGAACAUGAGGAUGGCUCUGAUACUACUGUGAUAAAAUUGAGUACGGUAAAAACGUAGCGGAAAAAGAAAUCAAACAAAUUUGAUUUUGAAAACUCUCGAGAUCCAAUCUCAAAAACCACGCAAUUAGGAUCCUUUAUGUUCUUUAAGAUUAAAAGAGAAUAGCAAGAUCGAAUCUUUACCUUUUUCGCGGAUAGAUCUUCACCUCAACUUGAUGAUCGUGGAAUCGGGUUCUCUUGAAGCCGCAAACGCAUCCGGCCUCUAUAGGUAUCCACACGAGGUUCUUGAUUUGAUCGAUGUCCUCACCGGGAUGCUAGCUCCCUUGCAAAGGACAUCUUUCUUGCUAGAAUAUAGAAAAGAGAGGAGAAGAGAAAUGACGAAUAGGGUUUUCUAAAAACUCUCGUAUAUUAUAUAGAGGAAUAUAAUUCUCUUUCUAAUAAUAUAAUGACAAUUAAGGAUAAGUACAAAUCUAGAUUUAAAUUUAUCCUUUCCUUAAUUGGUUAGAUCGAUCAAAUCCUAAUUUGAUUCGACUUGAACUUUAUAUUAAUUUGAUCUUAUCAAAUUAAUAAUGCAACAUUUGCACAUAAGUCCUCUUAUAAUUUACUAACUAUUAGUAAGUCCUCUCUUGUAACAUUUAUACUUUAAUACUACUAAUUUGUAACAAUUACAAAUUAGUUCAAUUAUCAACAUAUUGACAAUUAAGUCCUCCGGCGAUUCAAUAAUCGCGAUCUAGCUAUCCGAUCAAUCACAACCUCUUAUGUGUGUGACCCCAUAGGUUCUAUUCUAUCUGGUAGUAAGAUAUAUUUUGAUCACUAUCAACAAUAUCACUGAAACUCCUUUCAGUGGAUCGGAACAAUUCCAACUUAGCCCAAUGAGAAUUAUCGAUCAUCUAGAUAUAUAAUUCUCAUGAGUCCCACAAUCCACCAGUGACACCUAGCAGCAUGUAGUGGCAUUCCAGUAGAAUGGAAUACUGAACCUCUUGGUGCAGUUACCGUGUGAUACAGUCCUUCUAUCAUGAGUCCCGACUAGACGAAGGUUAUGGAAUAACUCGUCAAACCCCAUCAUCUGUCAUAUGUUAAAUUUAUUCGACUCGAGUUUCUAAUAUCGGAAGCACUUUUUCCACUAUUAACUCUGUCUUGGCCAAGGUCUUCUAAACUCGGUCUCAUAAAUCACAUAGGACUAACACCCCUAUCUACCAAGAAAAAUAGAUUCCAUCUAAGUGCGCACCCUAUUCCUACAAUGAACCUACUGCAGCCAACAUGCACCGCAAGGACCCGAAUGGCUAGGGACCAAGUGUAUGUACAGUCAAACUACAGUAACCUCAUUGUGAACAACCGAGGCACUGCAGGUCAAAGGACCAGUCACACUACUUCAACAUUGAGUAAGUCACUGACGAGUCAGUAGAUAUCCAAGUGACUUCUCGCGUUGGUCACGCUCGGUACCCUUGUUCUCUAACAACCACCUGCAUAUUCGCUUCAGUAUCCCCACACUGUCGACUCGAGACACGUCUACCCAGAAAGGGAAGUGACCUAUGCACCAAUCUCACCGGAUCAAUCACCGUCCCCGUGAUGAUCCAUUGAUCGGAAGUAUUUAGGAAUUAACCACCAAUAACACAUGUCUCAAAUUCUCAACACUUGAGAAUAUAUGUCAUCAUCUUAUUAAUUCCUUGGACGAUUCAUGGACACAUACACAACAUGAAUGAAAAUAAGUAUUCAAAUUUAUUCAUAAUAUCUUAAAAUCCAAUACAAAUUUAUGUCCUAAAAAGAAUACAUGUGUCGGCCUGAUUGGCUUUUAGCGCAUACAUCUA